rnacentral:rRNA from 1 species
AGCGCAGCAAUGCGCCUAGAGCGGCGGACUGGUGAGUAACACGUGGGUGAUCUACCUCGGGGAUGGGGAUAGCCAUUAGAAAUAGUGGGUAAUACCGAAUACGCUUCCACGAUUGCGGUUGUGGAAGGAAAGGCGCUACGGCGCCGACCCGAGAUGAGCCCGCGCCCCAUUAGCUAGUUGGUGAGGUAACGGCCCACCAAGGCGAUGAUGGGUAGGCGGCCUGAGAGGGUGUACGCCCACAUUGGGACUGAGAUACGGCCCAAACUCCUACGGGAGGCAGCAGCUAAGAAUAUUCCGCAAUGGACGAAAGUCUGACGGAGCGACGCCGCGUGGAUGAUGAAGGCCGGAAGGUUGUAAAAUCCUUUUGUCGGGGAAGAAUAAGCAUGGGAGGGAAUGCCCGUGUGAUGACAUGAACCGGCGAAUAAGCCCCGGCUAACUACGUGCCAGCAGCCGCGGUAACACGUAGGGGGCGAGCGUUGUUCGGAAUUACUGGGCGUAAAGGGCAUGUAGGCGGUUCUGUAAGCCUGACGUGAAAGGCUAUGGCUCAACCAUGGCACUGCGUUGGGAACUGCGGGACUUGAAUCAUGGAGAGGGAGCUGGAAUUCCAGGUGUAGGGGUGAAAUCUGUAGAUAUCUGGAAGAACACCAGUGGCGAAGGCGAGCUCCUGGCCAAUGAUUGACGCUGAGGUGCGAAAGUGUGGGGAUCAAACAGGAUUAGAGACCCUGGUAGUCCACACUGUCAACGAUGUGCACUAGGUGCUGGGGCGGACGCUUCAGUGCCGGAGCUAACGCGGUAA